AUUGAACGCUGGCGGCAGGCCUAACACAUGCAAGUCGAACGGUAACAGGAAGCAGCUUGCUGCUUUGCUGACGAGUGGCGGACGGGUGAGUAAUGUCUGGGAAACUGCCUGGUGGAGGGGGAUAACUACUGGAAACGGUAGCUAAUACCGCAUAAUGUCGCAAGACCAAAGAGGGGGACCUUCGGGCCUCUUGCCAUCGGAUGUGCCCAGAUGGGAUUAGCUAGUAGGUGGGGUAAAGGCUCACCUAGGCGACGAUCCCUAGCUGGUCUGAGAGGAUGACCAGCCACACUGGAACUGAGACACGGUCCAGACUCCUACGGGAGGCAGCAGUGGGGAAUAUUGCACAAUGGGCGCAAGCCUGAUGCAGCCAUGCCGCGUGUAUGAAGAAGGCCUUCGGGUUGUAAAGUACUUUCAGCGGGGAGGAAGGGAGUAAAGUUAAUACCUUUGCUCAUUGACGUUACCCGCAGAAGAAGCACCGGCUAACUCCGUG
rnacentral:rRNA from 1 species